rfam:Gossypium hirsutum cultivar TM-1 unplaced genomic scaffold scaffold477.1, whole genome shotgun sequence
AGUUAAAAUUUUCAUCUAUUUCUAUUGUUGAAAACUGGCGUGAUUUAUAAAAUCAGUAAACAAUUACACUUUACAUACUGCGUGUAUCUCAUGUCGACAUAUAUAGAUCAAUUUUCAAUAUUAGAAACAAAUAAAAUUUUUAACA